rnacentral:lncRNA from 1 species
UCGUCUAUGGCAUGCAGAACGAGGCGCAGGCUUGGUAAGAUGAUGCGGCAGGUAGACUGGAAGCGGGAAGCUGAUCCGUCAACGAAAUUGUGAGCCUGGUGUUUCCUUCCUCAGAUUUAUAUAUUACUGUACUAUAGUUCUUUAUGAGGACGCUGGGAGGAUCUCACGAAAAAGUCCAACAUCAGAUGGGGAAAUUGGGGUAGUUGAGUGAGAAACAGAGAAAGGGAUGUGAAAACAGAGGAGCAGAUGAGAGUUCACAAUAUUUCCUUUUCUUCAGAGAUGCCUCAUACAGGUUUACUGGUUCAGUUAAGUACCCACACCAGCUACGGCACACACGACAAGUGGGCCACUCACACACACAACUCCAUCGCUAGAUCUCAGCCGUCCGUCGCCAGCAUGGACCGGUCAGCGGUGGACACGCAACAUUACCCCUUUACCUUUGUUUUCCUGCACAGUUUGCUUGCAAUCCCCUCUUUUCACCCAAUGAUUCCAUUAUAAUAAUGUGUGUCCAACCUGAAUUUUGUGUAGACAGUGUUCAUCCUGGUUCUGGUCAAUCCUUGAGUUUAUUCUCAUAAAUUGGCUUGCAGUGUCCCUAAUGAUGCUAGGAUGGUUUAUUUUUUAAUGAUGUGUGAUCAAGGUACCAUAACUAAUAUUGACUAGACAUGGCAAUUUUCUAUUACCCAUGUACGUUGUUCUGUGUUGAUGCUUGAGCGAUACGUAAGAAAAAUAAUGCAUGAGUAACCUCACAAAUUGAGGUGCUAAAUAAAUUGUUCGUUGGGCUGGGGUGCUACAGAUUAGGGUAAUAAAUUAGGAUUUGCCAUACCCUUAAUGCUCAACGAUUAGGGUUGAUUUUAUUAAGUUCAUAAUGUACAAUGAUCUAUGAUUUAAUUAACUGAAUUCUUGGUGCUUCAAUUUCCACGGAUGUUCACUUGAUUUCCACGGGUGUUAUUUCAAUUUGUUAUACAAUUCAUGCAUACACACUAUGUAUUUUUCAUUUUACCAACUUCAGAAAUUAUUCAGAUCACCUUGAUGUUUGAAUUACUUUUGAGCAGAAGAAAGUAUAGGGAAUAGAGUGUAUGUAGUCUGCAGGGAUAAAAUUACUCUCCCUAUAGGGUGUCGGAGCAUUUUUCUUAUUGAACAUAGCUUCUUUGUCUUUAGGAAUAAGAAAACUGCCCCCCAUCGAAGAUGCUUUCAAGGGCCAUCUGUAAUUGUCUCAUGAAUAGACGUCUGUCGUUGGACAAUGAGAGGACAGCCAAGGUGAAGAUACAACGCCUACCAUGCAUCCUCCAAGUGAGCUCCAAUCAGACGUGGUGUCACAACUCUUUUCUCCUUAACCGUCCUGAGAUAAUUAUUGCGUAUUAAUU